rfam:Dipodomys ordii contig_37178, whole genome shotgun sequence.
GGGAAAGUGGCUCAGUGGUAAAGUGCUUGCUUUGCACGCAUGAGGCCCUGGGUUCGAUUCCUCAGCACCA